rnacentral:rRNA from 1 species
CACGUAGGGGGCGAGCGUUGUCCGGAUUCAUUGGGCGUAAAGCGCGCGCAGGCGGCUCGGAAAGUCGGAUGUGAAAACUCGGGGCUCAACCCCGGGCGUGCAUCCGAUACUGCCGGGCUUGAGGCAGGUAGGGGAGAUCGGAAUUCCUGGUGUAGCGGUGAAAUGCGCAGAUAUCAGGAGGAACACCGGUGGCGAAGGCGGAUCUCUGGGCCUGUCCUGACGCUGAGGCGCGAAAGCUAGGGGAGCGAACAGG